CCUGGCCUUAUACUCCCUCUAAACCCUCUCCCACACUUUAGUUCAUGUGGGUUUUGCAUAUUUUAUUGCAAAUUUGUGUGCAAUCAACUUUCUCAAUUUUUUGUUUUGCAGAUCUUGAUUUUUGCCUAUUUGGGUCAAAAUGGUGCUAUUGAUGUAGAAAAGAUUGGGGAGAUUAGUUUCCCUGAUAUGGAAAAUUUUAGGUGGGAAGAUUUGCUUUUUGUUUAUAAAGUAUGAGCUUGCUUCAGGAAACUGAAUUCGUUGUGGAUAAAAAUGCAUCUGCUUGGAAUUUCAUCAUCUUGGGAAAGGCACUGGUGUAGGAGAAACAAAGAACGAGUCUAAGAUUAAUGGAGUGACAUUUUUUCCUAAAGGCAUAAACAACACUUUCUAACAAAGGAAGACGUGGGAGAAUAGAAUGAAUCCAAUGCAUUUAUCUUGAACUCACGGAAAUUUCGAUGUCUAAAAGAUGUUCCAUUCACAUGAUACUCAGCAACUAUAAUGUACUUUCUUAUUUUCUUAUCAUUCAUGAGCGAAUCAGCAUGCUAGUAGAUAUCCUAUAGUCUAACAUUCUCAGUGAAUCUACGGGUUUUUGGAGUGUUUGUGUUUUUCACUAUGCAGAGAGAAAAUAGUACAAGAGAGAACUUGAUAAAACUUUAAAGAGUCAAUAAUGGAGAAGAGAAUGGUGGUUUCAAUGAAUGAGAGGCUUAUGCCAUGAAGAAUGUGUGUGCCAUGAUGCGCUUGGGGCUAAAGGAAGACUUCGUUUUAUAUAUUGGGCAUCCACCAUUCUUAGUUUGACGAUUGGAGUUAGUUUCCGUAUUUAG